rnacentral:lncRNA from 1 species
UGAGACCACUACAGUGGUCAUGCCUAAUAAUUACGUAUUUUUGUAAGUGCUGGAUGUGUUUUACCCACCGUAAUAGCAGGUACAGACUUUCAAGCUUGAAACCUGUAUGUCAUAGCUCUGAACAUUUGGUUAUAUGUUGAAAUACCUCUAAGCAUAAAUUGAUUUUUAAAUGAGAGAUAUAAAUAAAUACAAUAAAUGAGAAAAACUCAUAAAUACCUGGAUGAGAUGCUUAUAAAGAGGUCAGCCUUAAAAAUGUCAUGAGGUCUAAUGUGCCACUCUUCUACCAUUUCUGUGGAUAUUACUUGGACAGGAGGACAAGGACUCAGGGGUCUGCUUGUCAGUCUCUGCACCUUGAAACAGUGGCUGGGGCACCAGGAGUAACACUUCCAGCCAACACUAAGUGGUGAGGACAAGGAGUCCAUCUGGCUUAAGGAGGGUGUGAACAUAAUGUGACCUGGAGGAGAAGUACACCUGGUAGGGCGACCAGGAUCAAGGUCUCUGGCACACAUUGAAAUCCCCCAUGCCCAGGUGUGGUGGAGUGAAUCCCUCAGCUGGUGCUGGGCUUCCAGGUGUGCACCCUGGAGAGGAUGCACAGGGCAAAGCUUUUGUGUCCACACAUGCAGUACUGGAACUGGGUGUCACUGGCCUAUUAGGCCGCUGCUCACCAGGCAUUCUCCUGAGCUCCCACCUGGCUAAGUGAUAAGUGUCCCAUCUACCUGACCCCGCGGCCUGGGUUUCUCCUCCACCUACCGACCCGUGCCCUCUUGGGGAGAAUGCCAACUUCCCUGGAGACUCAGGCCUUGCUGGGCCCACAUGCUGUCCUCCUGUCUCAUGGGCUGGAAACUCUCUGGUGCACAGGGAUUCCCAGACAGUGCAUCCCAAAGCCCCUCCGGUUCCAUUGCUUCUUCCCUGAAUGUACCGACUGAACACACAGGAAGACAAAGACAGCUGCUAGGUUUCAUUUCCCUCCAGAUGUCAUUUGAGGUCCAUGACAUCUUCUCUAGGUAGCUCGCGCCAACCACCCUUUUCCUCCUACCUCUGCCAUGUGUGAGAGCAAUGAGGACUCUUCACGUCUCCCUAGGGCUCAGGCUUCAUGGGUCCUGAAGUUGGAUUGCCAAACCCGGCUGACCCCUGCUUGGCAGCUCAAGAGCUGAGUUUGAGUCAUACCUGUGGGUGGGAAUGUGGGUCCCCUCCCCAAACCAAGGUACACAAAGGUACACAGGCACAGGUGUGCACACACAUGCACCAGCUCAAACACGCAGGCUGGAACGUGCCCACACUCACUCUGGUAGGAGGGAAACUGGGUGUCUACACCAAUACUCAGGUAGGCCUUAAUGCUCAGCCACAUUCUCUCGCUAGACACACACAGAAGGUCCCCUGCCAUCUGCAGUGGGAUUUAUUUUUACUUUUAUACUUUUUUAACUUACCAAAGUAUGUUGCAUUAUUUCCCCCAUGAUGAAAAAGACUUUGAUACAAGUAAGGAGGAAGGGGACUUUUUAUAAUAA